rnacentral:tRNA from 1 species
GGGCGGUUAGCUCAGUUGGGAGAGCGCAUGCCUUACAAGCAUGAGGUCGUGGGUUCAAAUCCCGCAUCGCCCA